UUAUCUGCCACAGACCUGCUCUAUGGGAGGCCACAAGAUUAUACAUCAGUUGUUGUACGUGCCGGACUGCCCUCUAUCCCUCUUGGGAAGAAACUUGUUAAGCAUACUAAAAGCUGCUAUCAGGUUCACUAAUAAGGGCUCCCUGCAGCUCAAACUGCCUAAGGCAUGGAUUAUCACGGCUCUCACAGUCCCUUGGGAGGAGGAAUAGAGACUCUUCCUGACUGAGCCGGGUCGAGAAUUAACCGCUGUGCUGGCCAAGGGAUGGCCAUGAGUCUGGGCAGAAGACAACCCUCCAGGGUUGGCAGUAAGCCAAGCCCCGGUGGUUAUCAAAGUAAAGCCAGGGGUAUUCCUAGUCAGACAAAAGCAGUACCAGGUUCCAAGGGAAGCUCUUAAGGACAUCCAGGUCCAUCUCAAACACCUGAAAGCCUAUGGUAUUAUAGUACCUUGCCAGUCUCUUUGGAACAUGCCUCUCCUGUACAUCCGCAAGCCGGGGACCAAGGACUACUGACCAGUGCAGGACCUGUGCUUGGUCAACCAAGCAACUAUGACCUUGCACCUCACUGUGCCCGUUCCCUAUACGUUGCUAGGGAAGGUUGAGGGUGUUCCUGCGUGUGUCCAUCACAGCUGUGUGAAACCUGCAGCACCAGACACCUGGGAAAUAAAGCCAGAUCUCCGUAACCCAUGCAAGAUCACCUUAAGGAGAGCUGAGACAGCAAGCCCUGCUCCAGUCACACCCCGGAAGCUGACUGGUCUACGCUCGGCCGAAGCAUGAAGACUUCCAGUGUGGGACCAACAUUCCUUUCUUCAAACUAUGGACUUGUGCCCGUAUACAUCAGAUCACCAAGUUCUUUCUAGCUUCUUGGCAAGGACAGAGGCCCCUGCUGAGAGGGCUUUAGGAAUGGCCAAAGUCUGACAUGGUGCAACCUCAGCCACGCCAAGAAAGAACUUGGAUACGUCUGUCUCGCUGUUUUUCCAGUUUUUGUUUGCACCUCACAGGAAGAACUGGUCCGCCUUCAUUCCCAGGCCUACCAAACUGACAGGUUCUUCAGUGUGGGUGGGGCCCCUGCUUACGGCCUUAACCAGCAACUGCACUAGAGAACUCUCUGUCUAGACUACAGCCACGUUUCCCAAAGUCAUCAGAUUAAAGGCAUCACCUGGAAGUUCUCAUUGGGUCGUCUGGGGAUUUCUGAAGGGCCACAGAUGAUUUAUAAAAUAGCUCAGUAAAAACCAACCUCAGCUGGGCGCCGUGGCGCAGGCCUGUGAGCCCAGCACUUUGGGAGGCCAAGGUGGCUGGGUCACUUAAGACCAGGAGUUCGAGACCAGCCUGACCAACAUGGUGAAACCCCGUCUCUACUAAAAAUACAAAAA